AAUCGAAUGGUGGCCGAGACGAAGGGUUAAUAAGAAUUCAAUCUAUCGAAAUUAUCGCAACUAUUGCGCUAGCUACCUGUUACGCUCUUCUAUUUCCGUUCGAUUCCACUGGAAUAAUUAAAAAUGGCCGCUCCCAGAGGGUUGCGAACCCCUUCGAGAGCUCGACAAUGGAGGCAUCUGCGCCAUUGAAAACAACGCUCGUUUGCGUCCACGCUGCAUUCCACCCCCUUGUAUUAUUGCUGCGUGUAAGCGGUCGCGUUAAUUGCGUUUAAACCAAGGGGGGAGGAGGCUGUGUGUGUGUGUGUGUGUGUGUGUGUGUGUGUGGCUCGGUCGUUUUCGACGAAUACAAGGACUGGAAUUAUUGGAUGCGGGUGUUAACAGCGUUUGAAUUUUGUUCGUUGAAGAAAGGAAAGUUGGAUUUGAGCGUAGUUGUUUUAGUUGGAAAAGUGCAAAGUGUGGAUAAUUGAUUCGAGGAAGAAGGGAAAAUAAAUUAUAAUUGAUAUAUUUGAAUAUUUAUAACAAAAUUUUGCAGGUAAAUGUAAAUAUUAUUUACAUUACUGUAUUGUAUCUAGAUCUGUUAGAAAGGUGGAAGAUUGUGGCUUAAUAAGAAGAUUAUUAUAUUAGUGUGAAAAGGAAGCGAAAACAAUUGCGUUUCGUUAACGAAGUGAUUACGAUUCUAUUAAUUUUUUGAAUGGACCAAGUAUCAACAGUGCCAAUUCAAUCGUAAGAAAUUAUUAUCGGUACAAUGAAGAAAGUGACGAUCGAUAUAUAACGAGUAACGUAAAUAAGAAAAAGAUUGAAUGAAACGUGGCAAACAAGAAUUUUAAUUAAUUUACAUAUCGCAUCAAAAGGAAUCGAGAGAAAGGGGAUGGUUAAGAAAGAAAGAAAAUGGUUGGAAAAAGCAUCUUCUCACGUUUCCUUCCUUAAACACAAAGAAAAACUCGUGUUCAUCCUCGCUCUUAUCGAACAAAUUAUUGGUUGUUUUGCGAAGAACGAAAGAAGGAAUAGAUCAGCCAGUAAUCUCUGAUGAUUUAAUUACAGCUCCAUAAUUGACCGUUCAACUGGCUAACUCCUCCAGCUUCACGCUUCUCCCCGGAACAAAUUUAACGAUGCGAACUUUUUCUCUCACUUUUCUCUUUCUUUCCAAGUAGCUUGGAACGUGUGAAAAUAAAAAACACAAACAGUGAUAUAAAAUAUUUUGCCUCGUGUCAUAUCUCUUUACAAAAGUACGCAGUAAAUUAGAUCUCUCACGUUAUAUUUUAAAUAACUAUUUUAUAUUUUAUAUUAUGGAGAAAGAAUAAACGAAGACUCUUUCCAUUCCGACGUAGGUUUCUAACAAUUGCAAAGAAAUAUAAAAAUUGUAUACAAAACAUAUAAUGGAAAAUUAACACACGAAGAAGACGAUCGUUGUGCAGGUAACAGGAGAAACGUAAUGAAUAUUUUUGCAAGAUAUCGUUAUAUGUACUGGCUUUGUGACCAUGCAGGCACGCGAUACAAUACGUGCAAGACGAACGAGUGACGUAAACGUAGUGCACAACGGUUCUGUUUUCUCGUUCACCGAGCGUAAUUGCACUGUUUGCGAAUCAAGAAUACGAGUGCGUGUGCAUACGUGUUCGCGUUAAUUGCCCAUACCUUGAUCCAUUAUGUGAAAUGAAUGUACUUUGAACUGCACACGUGUAUGUAUAUAUAUAUAGAUGAAUAAUGAAUAUCAAAGGAUACCAAAUGUUAAAUAAUAUAUAGAAAUCUUUGUACGUGCGAGAAUCGAAAAAGUAAGGAAAAAGUUUAUAGAGAUUGAAGACUAUUGAAUAAAUAACAAAAAUCAAAUUCGUUUAAAUUUUUGUCGAAAGUGGUUUCCCUCGAAUUUUUCAAACGAUUUCUAUCCCUAGAAAUUUCCAAAAGAUUUAUGAGACACCAAAAUGACGGCUGUUUGGUAAAAUUCACAAGUUUCGAGAUUUUUUCGAGUCGACAUUGGGAUAAAACGAGCACGGGUUUUUAAUGUUUCAAAUUCUUAUGAAUAAAGGAUGAACAGGUGGAAAAGUUGUAUCGUGGCGGUCGAUGGAAAGAAACAUUUUUCAGGGACAUCACUAUCGUUCCAUUUAUCGUAGCGCGGUAUACCUACUCGGUAUAAAACGAAAUGAUUGCGAUUUAGUUAGAAAUCUUGCUAUUUUCAGCGUACAACUCUUCUAGGAAUUUCGAAUAAUUAAAUAAAAUAUUAUUAUUAUUAUUAUUAUUUUAUAUAUAUAUAUAUAUAUAACACGAAAAGUAUGAUUGUAAUUAACGAUAAUUAUUUCGCGUGUUUCAGUCGAUAAGUGAAAGCGGUUUUUUCCAAGACGAUAAAAUAUACGAUGCAUGGAUUCUAUAUAUUAACAGUUUGCAAUGAGGAUCAACGCUAUGAGACGAAAUCCUCGAUUUAUAAGCACGAUCCACGCAGCCUGUGCAACAGACAACCAUCUUAAUUAAGUUUAUCUUCGUUAAAGGCCCGAUUCGAUGUUUCCUGUGCACAUCCGCCCGAUUGCAGCGCCCCUAUUGCAUUCCUCGAUUCGCGUCCUCCAUUAUCGACUCGUUUCGAUCGUGGAUAUAACUCAGAUCGAUCAAUUUCGAUAUUCUUCCUUUUUCGAGUGCAAUUUGAACGAACGAAAAUUUGUUUGGACGUGAUCACUAACAGAAAAUAAUACCAUUUCCUUGGAAUAAUGGAGGAUACUUGUUUCGGAUUUUGCAAGAAAAAAGUGUUCUAUUCUGGUAAUGCUGCUGUUACGAGAAUUGACGAUCAGCAUGGAAUGACCAUGAUGACCAACGUGAAGUUACCUUGGAUACAGGAAGUGACGUCGAUCGUCUACGAUAUCGAAGAUCGAUUUAAGAGGAGAUGUUUUUGGAACCAGACAACGCGAUGCCUCACCUCCACUCUGUGUAUAAUUAUAAAUAUUGUAUUGUACAAUAAAUAUUGUAAAUAAUUGUAAAUAAAAUGAAAUAAAGUUGUGAAAAUA